CUCAGCAAUAUAACUGAACAAGUAACAGAAAGAAAUUCAGAGCUCAAAAACAAGGUCUUCAAGUUAACCCAAUCCAACAAAAACAAAGAAAGUCCUCAUUCAAAAAGCAAAGAAGGCAAAAACUCCAGGAACAUCUGUUGAGAAGAAAAAUACUUUUUGCACACAAGCAGGAAAAUGAGAUGUUAUCCAGGAAAUACAGGUCAGAGAGCUGUGACAUCUGAGGACCAAGUUCAAGAAGGGACUAAAGUGCUGAAACUUAAAACCAAAAUGGCUGAUAAAGAAAGUGUGAAGAGACCUGCAGGAAGCAAAAAUAAUACAACAGUGGGGAGAAAUUGUAUUCCUUUAAAACCUUUAAAUGGACUAACCAAUUCAACUGUAGUAAUUGACGCACACAAACCAAAGGACAGUGAUCAAACUCAGCAAUUGUUACUAACUGAAGAUGAUCCCCAAAGUCAACAUAUGACAUUAAGCCAGGCAUUUCACCUUAAAAACAAUAGUAGAAAGAGGUAACUACAGAAAAACCAAAGCAAGGUGCUAACAUGCCCAAGAAACCUUUGCUUGGAUCUUAUCGUGGCCAGAUCGUUCAGUCUAAGAUUAAUUCACUUAGAAAACCUCUACAAGUCAAAGAUGAGAGUUCUGCAGCAACAAAGAAACUUUCAACCACUGUCCCCAAAGCCACAAAGCCUCAGCCUGUAAACACCAGCAGUGUAACAGUGAAAAGUAAUAGAUCCUCCAGUACCACUGCCACCACGAAAUCUGUGAGCACUACAUCUCAGAAACCACAACUUGUGCGACCUCCUAUUAGAAGUCAUCACAGUAACACCCAGGACACUGUGAAACAAGGCAUCAGUAGAACCUCUGCCCACGUUACAAUCUGGAAAGUGUCUUGUGAAAAAGAACUGUUAGAAUCAAAAACAGCUUUAUCUAGUGUCAAAACCAGUUCUUGUCAACAUAUAAGAAGAAGUAAGACACUGUCAAGAAGCAUAGCAUCUGAAGUUGUGGCCAGGCCUGCUUCAUCGUCCAAUGACAAACUGAUGGAAAAGUCAAAGCCCACUGACCAGUGAAGACAUACUAUAGGAAAAGCAACUGCUGAUAGAUCAGCUCAUCCCAAAGAAACCGCAGAAGACAGAAAAGCUCGUCUGAGUGAGAGGAAAGCUGACAAAUGAAGAGUGCUAAAAAGGCUUCCUAACUCAGUAGUGACUCAGCAUGAGCAUGAAGGACAAAAUGAAAAACCAGUUGAGUCUUUUGGGACUGCCACGGCAGAAGAAGAUGAACAAAGAUUAUUUACUGAAAAACUAAACAACACAUUUUCUAAAUGCCUGAACUUGAUUAAUGAGGGAUGUCGAAAAGAAGAUACACUGGUCACACUGAAUGACCUGAUUAAAAAAUUCCAGAUGCCAAAAAAGCUUGUUAAGUAUUGGAUAAGUCUUGCAUGUAUGGAACCAAUCACAAGUCCUAUUGAAAAUAUUAUUGCAAUCUAUGAGAAAGCCAUUCUGGCAGGGGCUCAGCCUAUUGAAGAGAUACGACACACAACUGUAGAUAUUCUAACAAUGAAGAGUCAAGAAAAAGUUAAUUUGGAAGAAAAUAUGGAGAAAGCUUGUGUAACCAAGGAAGAAGCCAAAGUAGUCAGUAUUGAAGAUACAGGUGUUGAUGUAGAUCCAGAAAAAUUGGAAAUGGGGAGUAAACAUCAGAGAAAUGUGCUAUUUCAAGACUAUCAAAAAGAGCAAGACGGCAAAACAAAAUAUCCAACCCAUGGUGUUAAAACCCCCAAUACAGAAAUGAGGACAAGUUGCUUCAUUAAAUAUAAUGUGUGUCUACUAUGCCAUACUUGCAAAGUAUGAAAAAGAAGGUGCGGUUUGAUGAAACAAAUUCCGCAUUUAAAGAGCAAGUUUUUAACACCAGUGAGACGUUCUCAACGUCUUCAAGAGAAAACUUCUAAAUUGCCAGAUGUGUUAAAAGAUCAUUAUCCUUGCGUGUCUUCAAUGGAACAGCUAAUGGAGUUGGGAAGAGAAACUAAAGUUUUGUAUGCUGCCCUAAUGCAGCACUGUGCCGGAUGUACUCGGAGGAUUAAACACCAGAAGAGAAACAAAGCUCUGAUAGGGAAUUGGGUUUUUAUUAUUUGUGGGGUGUUUUGUUUGGAGUAGCUUUAUAUUACCCUUAGGUCUGGAGUUGGCCACGUACCUGCGUAUCCUAAGUAUUCACGGCAGUGAGCUCCUUUACUAACAUUCAUGUUAUGGCAACAGUUGUCGUCUGCAUUGGAAAGUUAAUCCUACCGUUUCUAUCUCAACCAACUGAGUUUUUUCUUUAAGGUGGGUAAAUUUUGUCAGCUAGUUUACUAUGUUCCUUGAAUAUAAAUAAGUUAUAAUACUAGCCUGUUCACUUUACUAACUAUAAGUACAGUAAUGAUGCAUCAUUAGAAAAUAAGGUAUUCUAGGUAAAAUGUGUAUGUUUGCAUUGACAUGUUUUUAAAAGUUAUGAUAUACCUCCCUGCCUUUAAACAGAAUAAUUUUUUGGCCUUUCUUAGAUUAAUAUGAAAGUCAAAAAUUGUAUAGAAUGACUCACUUUGAAUAUUAAGACACAGGAGGUUUAGCUUGCUUUCUCACCAAAUUCAUGUUACCCAGACUUGUGCUCUGUUGUGUCCCUCGGACUGCCUGUUGACUGAUGAAAAGUGUCUGCACUGUCACUUUUCAUCAGUAGUAGUCUGUGGUCUCGUGGCCUCUUUUGAUUAUAACUGGGGUUACCAAGAAGGAUACUUAAUUAAAUAACCCCAUUUAUAAGAGAAGAUACUUUGUGUAAGAAAGAAAAGAUGACAGAUUUAGUGGUUUAACUUCUGUAACUUCACUUGGUAGUUUUUAAGCAAUUAGAAUGGAGCAGGGAAAGAAUAUAUCAUACUGAAUAAAUGUCAUUCUAGUUUAGACAGCAUUUCUAAAAUACUUGAUACUUACUCUUGUUUUCUUCUCUACAAUAU